rnacentral:rRNA from 1 species
UACGUAGGGGGCAAGCGUUGUCCGGAAUCAUUGGGCGUAAAGAGCGUGUAGGCGGCCCGAUCAGUCCGCUGUGAAAGUCCAGGGCUCAACCCUGGGAUGCCGGUGGAUACUGUCGGGCUAGAGUCCGGAAGAGGCGAGUGGAAUUCCUGGUGUAGCGGUGAAAUGCGCAGAUAUCAGGAGGAACACCUAUAGCGAAGGCAGCUCGCUGGGACGGUACUGACGCUGAGACGCGAAAGCGUGGGGAGCGAACAGG